AGAAAUCGAACGAAAUAACUACAAUAAUAAAUUUAUUCCUCUUUGACGGGCCAAUAGCAAUAUUGGCCAUUUUUUU
rnacentral:sRNA from 1 species